UCCAGCAGCCGCGGUAAUACGUUCCCGGGUCUUGUACACACCGCCCGUCACACCACGAGAGUUUACAACACCCGAAGUCGGUGGGGUAACCGCAAGGAGCCAGCCGCCGAAGGUGGGGUAGAUGAUUGGGGUGAAGUCGUAACAAGGUAGCCGUAUCGGAAGGUGCGGCUGGAUCACCUCCUUUCUAUGGAGAUCAUGGCCAUGCAGAUGGUCAGAUCAUAAAAAGUCGACAACCGACAUGGUUGCCGACGGCACUCACUCGGGUUCAGUUUUGAAAGGCGCAAUGCUUUUCGCAGCAGCUUUGCUAACGCAGAGCUUGGUUUGGUGAUGAUGGCGGAAGGGAACCACGCGUACCCACCCCGAACACGAACGUUAAGCCUUCCAGCGUCGAUGGUACUUGGACCGCAGGGUCCUGGGAGAGUAGAACGUCGCCAAGCCAACCCACCUAGGGUGGGUUUUUCAAUCUCAAAGCAAGUAAGCAUGUGAGGGCCCUUAGCUCAGCUGGUUAGAGCGCACCCAAUAGAG
rnacentral:misc_RNA from 1 species